rnacentral:lncRNA from 10 species
CCUGAGCACCAACUCUAUUUUCAGCCCUGAACUGGCCACUGGGCAUAUGGAGGUGAAUGGGACACUGCCAAAUAGCCAGCUUGCAACAGAGAGGCUAGAGGGAAGGUAUACUGUUAUACACAAAUGCAUCCAUCUACAAGAGUAAUCAUUCCAAGUUUGGGGUCAAUGACCAGCAUAUCAGAACCCAGCACAGGCCUAAUGGUCUGAGACAGAAAGACAGACCACCUGGCCAGUCCUCAAUCCUGCAGAUUUCCAAGGUAAGACUUGGUAUUCCUCGGCCCCUUUGGGGUUAGAAACAAUUGAAGAACUUUUUGCUUUGAUUGUGUUAGAAGGGUAAGAGUUUUUCUUUAAGCUCUUUGAAUGAAUAAGUAAUUGCCCAGACAUUUUUUUUUUCCACCUUAGACUUUCCUUUUGUUACUGAAUGAGUAGCACCAAUAAUUACUGGCACUUUCCUCAUUACUUCCUAAUGUGAUAAGCAAUGCUAAUCUCUAUCCUUAUUUAGA